GAGGUUGUAGCUCAGUGGUAAAGCGCUUGCCUUGCACGCAUGAAGCUCUGGGUUUGCUCCUCAGCUCCACA
rnacentral:tRNA from 1 species